rnacentral:lncRNA from 1 species
AUGGUAUGGAUAGUUCUAUUGUAGAAAAAAAAAAUGAUCAAGAGUCCUUUUCUAGAACGAAUACUGAAAUUCAUGGAGUGGUGGGGAAUAAUGAACCUAUGGCAGUCCAACACCAAGAAGAUUCAGAAGUGCAACCUCCUGAGAUACCUGUUUUGUCUGAGAGUCAUCAGUCUGAGAUUAACUUGGGAUCUCAUGAUAUUGAUGCUCACAGGCACACAACUUAUGAACCUGUGGCUGUCCAACUCCAAGAAGAUGCAGGGGUGCAUCCUACUGAGAUACCUGUUUUGUCUGAGAGUCAUCAGUCGGAGGUUAAUUUGGGAUCUCAUGAUAUUGAUGCCUGCGGGCACACAAAUAUUGUUUCUCAUGUGGAGGAGCUUGACAAUUCUCAAAAUGUUGAAAUAAACCAUGUUGGAGGAAAUAUUGCAA